AGUGAACGCUGGCGGUAGGCCUAACACAUGCAAGUCGAACGGCAGCACAGUAAGAGCUUGCUCUUACGGGUGGCGAGUGGCGGACGGGUGAGGAAUACAUCGGAAUCUACUUUUUCGUGGGGGAUAACGUAGGGAAACUUACGCUAAUACCGCAUACGACCUACGGGUGAAAGCAGGGGAUCUUCGGACCUUGCGCGAUUGAAUGAGCCGAUGUCGGAUUAGCUAGUUGGCGGGUAAAGGCCCACCAAGGCGACGAUCCGUAGCUGGUCUGAGGGGAUGAUCAGCCACACUGGAACUGAGACACGGUCCAGACUCCUACGGGAGGCAGCAGUGGGGAAUAUUGGACAAUGGGCGCAAGCCUGAUCCAGCCAUACCGCGUGGGUGAAGAAGGCCUUCGGGUUGUAAAGCCCUUUUGUUGGGAAAGAAAAGCAGCAGGUUAAUACCCCGCUGUUCUGACGGUACCCAAAGAAUAAGCACCGGCUAACUUCGUG
rnacentral:rRNA from 1 species